GAUGAACGCUGGCGGCGUGCCUAAUACAUGCAAGUCGAGCGAACAGACGAGGAACUUGCUCCUCUGGCGUUAGCAGCGGACGGGUGAGUAACACGUGGAUAACCUACCUAUAAGACUGGGAUAACUUCGGGAAACCAGAGCUAAUACCGGAUAAUAUAUUGAACCGCAUGGUUCAAUAGUGAAAGACGGUUUUGCUGUCACUUAUAGAUAUAUCCGCGCCGCAUUAGCUAGUUGGUAGGGUAACGGCUUACCAAGGCAACGAUGCUAAGCCACCCGGAGGGGGGGAUGGCCCAAACGGGAACUGAGACCCGGCCCAAACCCCUACGGGAGGAACCAGAAGGGAAUCUUCCGCAAUGGGGGAAAGCUUAACGGGGAAACCCGGGGGGAGGGAGGAAGGUGUUCGGAUGUAAAAACCCUGUUGUUAGGAAGGAAGAAAUGUGGAAGUAACUGCGCACGUAUUGACGGUACCUAAUCAGAAAGCCACGGCUAACUACGUG
rnacentral:rRNA from 1 species